GACUACGGCCAUACCACCUUGGGAACACUCCCGAUCUCGUCUGAUCUUGGAAGCUAAGCAGGGUCAGGCCUGGUUAGUACUACACAGCCCGGCUAGCUCAGUUG
rnacentral:rRNA from 1 species